UGGGGAAUAUUGCGCAAUGGGCGAAAGCCUGACGCAGCAACGCCGCGUGAGUGAUGAAGGCCUUCGGGUCGUAAAGCUCUGUCGGAGGGAACGAAUGCUCCUGAAGUUAACAGCCUCAGGAGGUGACGGUACCCUCAAAGGAAGCACCGGCUAACUACGUGCCAGCAGCCGCGGUAAUACGUAGGGUGCAAGCGUUAAUCGGAAUUACUGGGCGUAAAGCGUGCGCAGGCGGUUGUGUAAGUCAGAUGUGAAAUCCCCGGGCUCAACCUGGGAAUUGCAUUUGAGACUGCACGGCUAGAGUGUGUCAGAGGGGGGUAGAAUUCCACGUGUAGCAGUGAAAUGCGUAGAUAUGUGGAGGAAUACCGAUGGCGAAGGCAGCCCCCUGGGAUAACACUGACGCUCAUGCACGAAAGCGUGGGGAGCAAACAGGAUUAGAUACCCUCGUAGUCCCUGAGCGGGCUGGCAAGGCGCAU
rnacentral:rRNA from 1 species